GGUUUUUGAGCCUAUUUCCUCGUCUGUGAAAGGAGAGAGCAUCAAUUAAAAAUCCGUAAGGGUUUCUUUCCAACAUAAAGAUUUACGCAGUAGGAGGCAGAAACCAUGAUUUCAAGUUCGAAAUACACCGCUGAAUUAGGACUUUUGACAGUCGUUUCAAUCUACCCAAAUUAGGGCUGAUUCUUUCAGGCUUGUAUAUUAUACGGGUGUUUUAAUGGUGGUUAGGUUGCCAUAUAUUUGAAGUGGUGUGAGAGAUCCUCAUUUGGAACCAUUGUGAUUCUUCAAAUAGAAAAAUCAAAAGGCUCGAAGGGACAGAUCAUGUGACCCAGAAGCAUCCAGAGUGAGCUGCACAUUGGACCACUCCUGGAAUAGAUUCAUCACUUGUGUUUUUUGGCUUGGAUAUCACUGUUCUGUGCCACCUGUGGAAAAUGGGAGACAAAUUAUAUCCCUUAUGAUUGCAGUUGUUAGGGAAUUACCGCUCAGCUGGGAGCUCUGUUCUGUGCAACUUCACUCUGGGACCGAGGCUGCCUGGAGAACCACCAUCUGGAGUAUGGCUAGUCUCCGUGAGAGAGAGGAAGAUAGAGUGGUGAAUUUCUCACUGGCUUUUAAAGCUUACACCUGAAAGUGAUACAUGGCACUUCUACUCAGAUGUCACUAGGCAAAGCAAGUCACGUGGCUGUACCCAACUUCAAAAGGCGAAGAAGUGCAAUCAUACCCUGUGUUUGGGAAAAUCGGACACACUUGGUGGGCAGAACUGUCCCAGAUGAUGACAGUUGCUAUGAAGAAACAAAGCCAGGUAAAGGAGAUGAUGUCUGGAUAGCUGGUUUCUACUUGAUAUAGGUGGUCAGGAAAGGUCUCUCUGAUAAGGUGACAUUUGAGGAGAGAUUCUAAGAGGGCCAUUUGGAUGGGCACGGGGCAAUUUCCUGCAAGGGAUACAGCAAGGGCAAAGUGUGCCUGGCGUGUUUGAGAAACAACUAGGAGGUCCAGGUGGCUAGACUGGAGUGAGCAAGGGGAAAGCUGUAGAAAAUUAGGUCAGAGAGAUAACCGAGAGCUGGGGACACAAGGUAGGGCCUUACUGUAAGAGCUCUGGCCGUUGUAGAUUUUUGUGUAAAGACACAAUCUGAGUUAGGCUUUAAAAGCUGCUGUGGCUGCUGUGUGGAAAAUACAGCAGGGGGCCAAGGAUUGAAGCAGAGAGUGGUUAAGAGGCUGUUUCAGUAAUCCAGGUGAGGUAAGAGACGGGGUAGUGGUCAGAUUCUGGACAUAGUUCGAAGGUAAAACCAACAGAAUUUGCCAAUGUGUUGGUUGUAAGAGAAGGAGGAGAUUUGAGGAUGACUUCAAAGGUUUGUUUCUCCUAGUAGUGCCUGGACACACAUAAGGACUGCCUCAGGUGGUUUUUGAGACUCUUCUAACUUGGCAAUAUCACCAUAGCAUAUAACUUCCCCCAUACAUGAGUCAAAGUUGGACAGCCAAGUGGAGAUAUAGAUGCUGGGGCAGUCAGCCUGAUUCAUGUACCAGCAAAGGGACUUCUGUCCCCACAUUGGCCUCAUAUCUGGUCUCUCUUUGGACUUAUGACCCAAGUUAAUUUAUAAAACCAGAGAAGUGAGCUUCAUAAUUACAAGCAAAAUAGGAGAAAAUGACUGAGUCAUCCCAACCUCAUCUCACCCCGCCAUUCCUCUGUGAACCUCAGAUAGCGCUACCAAGAAACCCAGCUAUUACAACAUGGGGUCUAUCCUCAUUGGACACUGGGACAGUGAUGUGUUGCCUCCCAUUCUCCUGGAAAUACGUUGAGUAAAAUUCUUAACAAAUACGACAAAACAACACUGUGGUGUUUUUCUGAAUAGUGUGUCCCCCAUUUCUGCUCACCCUGUCAUCCUGUAACAUGGCUCUCCCCAUCACUACCACCCAGUAAAUGGCAACUGGAACUCCCUGCUACACCUGGGCCUUCUCUGUGUCUUCUCCAGCAUAGAGUAGCAUAGGUUGAGUGCAAAGUUUGCCACCUACCAUAACGGACUGAAUAAAUGAAGGUCCAUGCUGUUUUUAAGAACUAUUUUGGGGGUAUUUAUACUCAAAAGCAUUCAUUUGUUCAAGAAAUCUUCUUGAACUCCUACUAUGUGCCAGGUACUCUUCUAAGCACUGGAGACACAGCCAUGGAUAGAAUAUAUAAGUAAUAUAUAUUGUUGAAAACUGGGAAAGCAUAGAAAGGUACUCAGAAAAGAUAACAUUUCCACUAACUCACCACCGAAACAUAAUUGCUAGUAACAUUUUGGUGCCCAGUCUUUUUCUGAGCAUAUAUAUCUUUCCUUCCUCCUUUUUUGAAUAAAAUUUACAACUUUGGGCUGAC
ensembl:lncRNA